GAUGAACGCUAGCGGCAGGCCUAAUACAUGCAAGUCGAGGGGUAUGCGGGAGCUUGCUUCCGCGGAGACCGGCGCACGGGUGCGUAACGCGUAUGCAACCUGCCCAUGUCAGGGGGAUAGCCCGGAGAAAUCCGGAUUAACACCGCAUGACGACACUGUGCGGCAUCGCACGGUGUCCAAAUAUUCAUAGGACAUGGAUGGGCAUGCGUGCCAUUAGCUUGUUGGCGGGGUAACGGCCCACCAAGGCGACGAUGGCUAGGGGAUCUGAGAGGAUGGCCCCCCACACUGGUACUGAGACACGGACCAGACUCCUACGGGAGGCAGCAGUAAGGAAUAUUGGUCAAUGGGGGCAACCCUGAACCAGCCAUGCCGCGUGCAGGAAGAAGGCCCUACGGGUCGUAAACUGCUUUUGCACGGGAACAAACCCCUUCCUGCGGGGAGGGCUGAGGGUACCGUGAGAAUAAGGAUCGGCUAACUCCGUGCCAGCAGCCGCGGUAAUACGGAGGAUCCGAGCGUUAUCCGGAUUUAUUGGGUUUAAAGGGAGCGUAGGCGGCCCUCUAAGUCAGGGGUGAAAGACAGCGGCCCAACCGUUGCAGUGCCCUUGAUACUGGGGGGCUUGAAUGCACCUGAGGUAGGCGGAAUGUGGCAAGUAGCGGUGAAAAUGCAUAGAUAUGCCACAGAACACCGAUUUGCGGAGGCAGCUUACCAAAGUGCGAUUGACGCUGAGGCUCGAAAAGCGUGGGGAUCGAACAGGAUUAGAUACCCUGGUAGUCCACGCCCUAAACGAUGACAACUCGGUAUCGGCGAUAUACUGCCGGCGCCCAAGCGAAGCGUUAAGUUGUCCACCUGGGGAGUACGCCCGCAAGGGUGAAACUCAAAGGAAUUGACGGGGGCCCGCACAAGCGGAGGAGCAUGUGGUUUAAUUCGAUGAUACGCGAGGAACCUUACCCGGGCUUGAAAGUUACUGAAUGGGCUAGAGAUAGCCCAGUCCCUCGGGACAGGAAACUAGGUGCUGCAUGGCUGUCGUCAGCUCGUGCCGUGAGGUGUUGGGUUAAGUCCCGCAACGAGCGCAACCCCUAUGUCCAGUUGCCAGCAUGUAGUGAUGGGGACUCUGGACAGACUGCCUGCGCAAGCAGCGAGGAAGGCGGGGACGACGUCAAGUCAUCAUGGCCCUUACGUCCGGGGCUACACACGUGCUACAAUGGGCGGUACAGAGGGCAGCCACCCCGCGAGGGGGCGCCAAUCCCUUAAAGCCGCUCACAGUUCGGAUCGGGGCCUGCAACUCGGCCCCGUGAAGCUGGAUUCGCUAGUAAUCGCGUAUCAGCAAUGACGCGGUGAAUACGUUCCCGGGCCUUGUACACACCGCCCGUC
rnacentral:rRNA from 1 species